rnacentral:tRNA from 1 species
UUAGAUGGACUAUAACAAGUCCCAUAAACA